rnacentral:rRNA from 1 species
UACGUAGGGGGCAAGCGUUGUCCGGAUUUAUUGGGCGUAAAGAGCGUGUAGGCGGCCAGACAGGUCAGCUGUGAAAACUCGAGGCUCAACCUCGAGACGUCGGUUGAAACCGUCUGGCUAGAGUCCGAAAGAGGAGAGUGGAAUUCCCGGUGUAGCGGUGAAAUGCGCAGAUAUCGGGAAGAACACCCGUGGCGAAGGCGGCUCUCUGGGACGGUACUGACGCUGAGACACGAAAGCGUGGGGAGCGAACAGG